rnacentral:rRNA from 1 species
AUUGAACGCUGGCGGCAUGCCUUACACAUGCAAGUCGAACGGCAGCGCGGACUUCGGUCUGGCGGCGAGUGGCGAACGGGUGAGUAAUACAUCGGAACGUACCCUGUUGUGGGGGAUAACUAGUCGAAAGAUUAGCUAAUACCGCAUACGACCUGAGGGUGAAAGUGGGGGAUCGCCAGACCUCACGCAGCCGGAGCGGCCGAUGUCUGAUUAGCUAGUUGGUGGGGUAAAGGCCCACCAAGGCGACGAUCAGUAGCUGGUCUGAGAGGACGAUCAGCCACACUGGGACUGAGACACGGCCCAGACUCCUACGGGAGGCAGCAGUGGGGAAUUUUGGACAAUGGGGGCAAGCCUGAUCCAGCAAUGCCGCGUGUGUGAAGAAGGCCUUCGGGUUGUAAAGCACUUUUGUCCGGAAAGAAAUCGCGCUGGUUAAUACCUGGCGGGGAUGACGGUACCGGAAGAAUAAGCACCGGCUAACUACGUG